AGGUGGUUUAAGCCUGAACGAAACACAGACCUUAUCUGAAGUAGAUCAAGACAUCCUCUAUGGAAGACAUGAACAGAGGUGGUUUAAGCCUGAACGAAACACAGACCUUAUUUGAAGUAGAUCAAGACAUUCUCUAUGGAAGACAUGAACAGAGGUGGUUUAAGCCUGAACGAAACACAGACCUUAUUGGAAGUAGAUCAAGACAUUCUCUAUGGAAGACAUGAACAGAGGUGGUUUAAGCCUGAACGAAACACAGACCUUAUUGGAAGUAGAUCAAGACAUUCUCUAUGGAAGACAUGAACAGAGGUGGUUUAAGCCUGAACGAAACACAGACCUUAUCUGAAGUAGAUCAAGACAUUCUCUAUGGAAGACAUGAACAGAGGUGGUUUAAGCCUGAACGAAACACAGACCUUAUUGGAAGUAGAUCAAGACAUUCUCUAUGGAAGACAUGAACAG